GACGGAGGGUGCAAGCGUUGUUCGGAGUUACUGGGCGUAAAGGGUGUGUAGGCGGUCCCUUAAGUUUGGUGUGAAAUCUCCCGGCUCAACUGGGAGGGUGCGCCGGAUACUGAGGGGCUAGAGUGCGGGAAGGGAAAGUGGAAUUCCUGGUGUAGCGGUGAAAUGCGUAGAUAUCAGGAGGAACACCGGUGGUGCAAACGGCUUUCUGGACCGUAACUGACGCUGAGACACGAAAGCGUGGGGGAGCAAACAGG
rnacentral:rRNA from 1 species